GGCAGACUAUUGCAAAAAGGGCACGGGGCAGAGGGACUAUGUUGUGAGCCUGCGAAAGAAGUUUGUGUGGGGACUGUGGGCAGUGAACGCGUUGGGAACAAUAUGGAAAACUGGGAGCCGCCUUGGAAUCUACAGGGCCGGAGAGACCGAGGGGCUCACUAGGUUGACCAGGCUGGUCUUGAACUCCUGGCCUCAAGCCAUCCUCCCACCUCAGCCUCCCAAAGUGCUGGGAUUACAUGCAUGAGCCACCACAUCCAGCCUACCUAAAAUAUUGAAUGCUGUUAAUAAAUCUCCUGAGGCCAGCAUAAGAAGGUGAUGGGCAAAACUAAUGCAGGAGCUGAAAUCGACCAGGGGGUUCUUAUCCAACAGACAGCAGCAAAACUCUUUGUGUAUCUGCGUUCCUUUCAACAAGUGUGACUUCCUCAAUGGCAUCAUUCGUGAGCGUAACACAGAGCUCAGCAAUAACGUUUCUUCACUAACCCUACCAGGGUUUCAGUUGUGCAAUUUCACCAUUAGCAAAGCUUUUUGCUGAAAUCUGGCUUUUCAAAGGGAGAGUAUCCAGAAACAGAAGAUGCUGCUCUGAGAGGCUCUUCCUAAUAGAACUGCUGCUUCAGUUUAGCUUGAAAAAGCCCACACCGAGUUCCUAAUGACAGACAUCUGAACACCGGGUCUUCCCACGAGCAAGACCAUGCUAUGCCUCCUGCUCGCUCUGUUCUAUAAGCAACCCACAGAUUGCUCCCUGUGAAGAGGAGCCUGCCAGGGGAGCAGCAUUCCACCAGACCCUGAUUUAGCAAGAUAUUUCCGUAUCAUUCCCCCAACCAGCUGGAAGUCCUCCAUUGCUCUUGUGUAAAAAUCUAACUCAUCUCGCUGAA
rnacentral:lncRNA from 1 species